rnacentral:rRNA from 1 species
CCUACGGGUGGCAGCAGUGAGGAAUAUUGGUCAAUGGACGCAAGUCUGAACCAGCCAUGCCGCGUGCAGGAAGACGGCUCUAUGAGUUGUAAACUGCUUUUGUACGAGGGUAAACGCAGAUACGCGUAUCUGUCUGAAAGUCUCGUACGAAUAAGGAUCGGCUAACUCCGUGCCAGCAGCCGCGGUAAUACGGAGGAUUCAAGCGUUAUCCGGAUUUAUUGGGUUUAAAGGGUGCGUAGGCGGUCGGAUAAGUUAGAGGUGAAAUCCCGAGGCUCAACUUCGGAAUUGCCUCUGAUACUGUUCGGCGAGAGAGUAGUUGCGGUAGGCGGAAUGUAUGGUGUAGCGGUGAAAUGCUUAGAGAUCAUACAGAACACCGAUUGCGAAGGCAGCUUACCAAGCUACUUCUGACGUUGAGGCACGAAAGCGUGGGGAGCAGACAGGAUUAGAUACCCGAGUAGUC